AUACUUACCUGCCAGGGGAGACACCAUGAUAGGUGGUUUUCCCUCAGUAGGGUUCAUCCAUGGCACUCUGGCUGUGCUGACCCUCGCAAUAUCCUCAAAUGCAGGAAACUUGACAGCAUGAUUUGUGGUAGUGGGAAACUGCAUUUGCACUUUCCCC